GCGGCAGUAGCAUAGUGGUAAUGCCCCCGACUGUGAAUCGGGACACGAGGGUUCAAUUCCCCCUGUCGCCCCA
rnacentral:tRNA from 9 species